rnacentral:rRNA from 1 species
GGUCAAGUUAUUAAGGGUGCAGGGCGGAUGCCUUGGCACUAGGAGCCGAUGAAGGACGUGAUAAGCUGCGAUAAGCUUCGGGGAGUUGCACGUAAACUUUGAUCCGAAGAUUUCCGAAUGAGGAAACUCACUUAGAGUAAUGUCUAAGUAUCAUUAAGUGAAUACAUAGCUUAAUGAGGGGAACUCAGGGAACUGAAACAUCUAAGUACCUGAAGGAAGAGAAAGAAAUUCGAUUCCGUAAGUAGCGGCGAGCGAACGCGGAUUAGCCCAAACCAAUAAAGUUUUCUUUAUUGGGGUUGCGGACAUAUCAUAA